rnacentral:tRNA from 1 species
CCUCUCAUGGCGUAGUGGUUAACGCGCCCCAACUAGAGAUCGGGGAGUCGUGAGUUCUCGAUUCUCACUGAGAAGA